CCCGGGCCUUGUACACACCGCCCGUCACGCCAUGGAAGCCGGGAGUGCCCGAAGUUCGUGUCCCAACCGCAAGGGGGAGCGACCUAAGGCAAGCUCGGUGACUGGGGCG
rnacentral:rRNA from 1 species